rnacentral:lncRNA from 1 species
AUGCAGCUCCAUCCUGGGCAGGGACAGCCACGGGAUCCGAUGUGCUCCAUGCUCACAGCCCUUCCCUGCACACCCAGCCUGCCAGCUCGCCUGGCACAGGGGAGCCGUCCCCCGGGGGUGGCACCUGCUGUAAAUACGCUCUGGCACCUGCCUCGAGACCCCGCCGUGCAGCAACGAUUUUUUUUUUUUUUUAUGGAUUUGCAAAUUAUCCUGCUUUUCUCCGCGGUCUCCCCCCGGAGCAUGCUGCUGGCACGGGACCAAGGCCCGGCUCCGGCAGCCAGCGUGAGUCACCCCGGCACGCCUGGAUCCUGCCCGGCUGGGAAGCAAGCAGCACGGCUUCUCCACACACGCUGCUUGCAGCGGCGGCGGCGGCAGCUGUUUCUCCUUGUAGGGUGCCAGGUGGGUCCACUUGUCCGAGGAGUCCUGUGGCUACCCAUGGACCUAGCACAGCAGAACCGGUGAAGCACAGACACAUGCAUUCCUCAAGCACACUGAUGGCGAUGGGGCUGUGUCUGAUGUGAAUGACCACACACCAACAGCUCACUCCCCUGGUUUUGACACUCCUAGGACCUGGAAAAAAGCCGCCGAGCAGCCGUGUGGGACAAGUCUCAGAGGCUGCAUGUGCUCCCAGUCCACUGCGACUCACAGUCCUGUGGUUUCGGGCCAUUCAAGGCCCAAAGCAAACAGAUGCAAAUACUCGAGUGGAGAACUGAUGCUUUUGGUGUUUGUCCAUCUCUAAGGCUCCUUGGUAACCCACUUUUGGAAAACCUCCCAUAUCCUGCUUCCUCUUUGCCGAGGCAUCUGAUGCCUAAUAGCUGCGCUCCUUCAUGGCCAAUUUUCCGAACAGUUGGUGUUUUGCUGCUUUCACUUAAGAUCCCCAUUCAGCACUGAACUGGGGCAGGGUUGAGGGGAGAAAAGUAUUUAAAGAGCAGCGCUGAUUUCAUGCACACAGAUGCAGUCCUCUAUGGCAAAAAAAAAAAAAAAAAAAAAAAGGAAAAUCAUCUUUGUGAUUAGCAACCAUUAAAAUCAACUCAUGCUUAUAAAGGUUUACUUUUAACAUGNAAAAAAA